CCUACGGGAGGCUGCAGUGGGGAAUAUUGCACAAUGGGGGGAACCCUGAUGCAGCAACGCCGCGUGGGUGAAGAAGUACUUCGGUAUGUAAAGCCCUGUCAGCAGGGAAGAAAAUGACGGUACCUGACCAAGAAGCCCAGGCUAACUACGUGCCAGCAGCCGCGGUAAUACGUAGGGGGCAAGCGUUAUCCGGAUUUACUGGGUGUAAAGGGAGCGUAGACGGCAAGACAAGUCUGGAGUGAAAGGCCGGGGCUCAACCCCGGGACUGCUUUGGAUACUGUGUUGCUGGAGUGCAGGAGGGGUAAGCGGAAUGUAUGGUGUAGCGGUGAAAUGCGUAGAGAUUAGGCGGAACACCGGUGGCGAAGGCGGCUUACCGAACUGUAACUGACGUUGAGGCUCGAAGGCGUGGGGAGCAAACAGGAUUAGAUACCCUAGUAGUC
rnacentral:rRNA from 1 species